UACAGAGGUGGCAAGCGUUGUUCGGAAUUACUGGGCGUAAAGGGCGCGUAGGCGGCCUUCUAAGUCAGACGUGAAAUCCCCCGGCUUAACCUGGGAACUGCGUCUGAUACUGGGAGGCUAGAGUGCGGGAGAGGGAUGCGGAAUUCCAGGUGUAGCGGUGAAAUGCGUAGAUAUCUGGAGGAACACCGGUGGCGAAGGCGGCAUCCUGGACCGACACUGACGCUGAGGCGCGAAAGCUAGGGGAGCAAACGGGG
rnacentral:rRNA from 1 species